rnacentral:rRNA from 1 species
AGUGAACGCUGGCGGUAGGCCUAACACAUGCAAGUCGAACGGCAGCACAGGAGAGCUUGCUCUCUGGGUGGCGAGUGGCGGACGGGUGAGGAAUACAUCGGAAUCUGCCCAGUCGUGGGGGAUAACGUAGGGAAACUUACGCUAAUACCGCAUACGACCUUCGGGUGAAAGAGGGGGAUCGCAAGACCUCUCGCGAUUGGAUGAGCCGAUGUCGGAUUAGCUAGUUGGCGGGGCAAUGGCCCACCAAGGCGACGAUCCGUAGCUGGUCUGAGAGGAUGAUCAGCCACACUGGAACUGAGACACGGUCCAGACUCCUACGGGAGGCAGCAGUGGGGAAUAUUGGACAAUGGGCGCAAGCCUGAUCCAGCCAUACCGCGUGGGUGAAGAAGGCCUUCGGGUUGUAAAGCCCUUUUGUUGGGAAAGAAAUCUUUCAGGCUAAUACCCUGGGAGGAUGACGGUACCCAAAGAAUAAGCACCGGCUAACUUCGUG